GGCCCUGUAGCUCAAUGGAUAGAGCGACUCCCUCCUAAGGAGUAGGUUGGCUGUUCGAUUCAGCCCAGGGUCA
rnacentral:tRNA from 1 species